rnacentral:tRNA from 1 species
AUUCAGAUAGCUUAUGCAAGAGCGUGGCAUUGAAGCUGCCAAGGAGACUAGUCUAGUCUUUGAAUA